GGAAGUUAGUUUAACGGAGAAGCAAACCAAUUCACUAACUGAACAAAUCGACUUCAGAUUGAUUGAUGACGUGUUAACAAUAGGGGUUGGCGAAAAUCCACCUGGACCGAAACACCAAUCUGGAAAUGGAACCUACUUUUGCCAUUUAGUUCCAAGUUAUAGAUUUUUUAACGUUUGGGUUUCUAUUUCCUUAUUUUGUUAAUUAAAUUUCCAUUUUGUUCAUUUUAACCGAUGCCUAAAACUAUAUAUUCUGGUCAUAAUUUGAUUGAAAAAUGUAGGGUUGAUGUUGCUGUGGCUAUCUAAUGGAUGACGCUGUUCAUUGUGCUUGUAACAUGACCCUCUACUUCAGCCAUUUCCGAUUACAUUUGUAGUCCAAAAGUAGUAAAGUGUUCCAAAUCAGCCGAGAAGUGCAACGGUUUUGAUCGCGUGUGUCUUUUUAGCCAGUCUGGCAUUCAGGGAUUAUGUCUGCAUACUAAAGUUGAAAUGCUUUGAUAUAACUACUGUACAGUUGUGACCCAAGCUGGACUGUUUGUGUCCAAUCAUUUACAUGAAGCUCCAUCCAGAGAAUACUUGAUUUCAAUGGCAUAUGAGCUCAUGAUUGUCAUCUGUCAAUGGAUUGGAUUGGCCAUGCAAUGGAUGGCACAUGCCUCAAAAGGGAAGCUUUUCUUUUUCUUUUUUUAACAACCUACAGAUUGUUGAAGAUUGCUCAAGUUAUAAUAACUGCUUGGCUGUUUGCUUUUAGUUUUGUUAGAAUUCUUUUCAUGGUUA